UGUCCUUCUACAGUCUGGAUAUUGAAGAUAAUCAGAAUUACAGACCAUAUAGCUAUUUUAUCGUUCUCAUAUUUGUGAGUUCCGUUAGAGUAAAGUAUUUACAUUGUGAUAUUUCAUGUUAUUUUUGUUUACCUUUGAAAAGAGAGUAAUUACAAAAAAACAUUACAUUUGUGAUGGUUUAAAUAUGGCUGGUGACAAAGUAGUAGGUGGUUCUUCGCAUCUAACCAAGGAAAAAGUACAUAAAGAAGAUACUUAUAAUGAAAAUUUAAAUGUAGAAGAUGAAUUUGCAGAACCUAUUGAAUAUGUACCUUGCCCUGAAUUUAAUUUUUCGACGAUUACUUGUUGUUUCUGCAAUGGAUAUUAUGGACCAUGUUUUGAGGAACCUGUUUGUCCAACAUGUCACGCAUUUCUAUUUCCUAAUGACAUCGGUUUUUUGCCAGUUCCCAUUUUCAGUCAAAAAUCAGAUGACGAAGAUUCAGGAAAUGAUGAGCCAACAGAACUUUAUUACAAUCAUGAAAGAAGAGCAAGUCAACAACAACAAAAUUCUGCGCAAAACGUGAAUGUGUUAAACCUAGCAAAAAGAUCCGGUGUACGCUGUAUCAAGCCUCCGAGAUAUGGUUCAAGGAACAGACAUAUUUUACUUGCGCAGCAGCAACAACAUCACGGUAUAAAUACAAGUAGCCCAAAAAAUAUGGCAGUUGUAUCUCAAAAUGCGCAGCUUUCACACAGCGUCCAUUCUGACAGUAUGCAAAAUAUAGAUAAUGGAAACAAUGAUAUUCAUCGUGAAAAUAAUAAAGAAAAAGAUUCCAGUUCUAGUUCUGCACGUGUGGCAGAUGGAGCAUUACAUAACAUUGUCCCAUUCCAGAGAGUUAAGGAAGUAGAAAGUCGACCAUAUUAUUAUCGGAAUUGCAAAGUACAAAGUAAUGCAGGAGAAAUGUCAAGAUCGAAAAAUUUGUCUGAACGAUUAGAGAUGUUAACGAAUUAUAAGCACGCCAAAUAUGAAUCUAUCGCUGAACCAGGCUUAAUGGAAAGAUUACCACCUGAAGUAUUGUUAGUUGUCUUCUCACACUUGGAUGAUGUUAGUCUUUGGUCAGCUGCGAAUGUUUGCCGUAGAUGGUGUGGUUUGUUAUCGACACACGUAACGCCACAGCAGUGGCAACGAAAUGUGAAAUUACGAUGGCCUUUAUACAAACCUAUCGGAACUGUUAAAAACUGGUAUAAACUAUAUGAUUUUUUGGCUUCUUCAGCGCCUUGUAGAACGUGUUUAGCACAAGCGUGUUUGAUGUCUCGAUCGCCAAGUAUUGAAGAAAAUUCAUGGAGAAAAAAUCGUUUGCAUAGCGAGCUUAAAAGUUUGAGAAUAGAUCCUCCUGAGGGUAUUGAAGCAACACCCUUGGAUCAGAAGUGUUGCCAUUGGCAAGCUACGAUAACUGGACCUGUAGGGAGUCCGUACGAAGGAGGUUUAUUUUAUCUUUACCUGCAAGUCCCGUGCACUUACCCUUUGUAUCCACCGAUAGUAAGGUUUCUUACAAAAAUACUUCAUCCAAAUGUUUCUAGACAUGGUGAUGUUGGAAUAGACUCAAUACUUCAUAACUGGUCAUUAGCACUAACAAUUUCGAAGGUGUUAAUCAGUGUUCAAAGCUUGCUCACGGAUCCAUACUGUCAGGUCUGUAUGGAACCGGAAUUGGGAGAAAUGUAUAUGAACGAUCGUGAAAGGUUUGAUGAAAUCGCGAGGGCAUGGACAUGGCGAUAUGCUAUGCACGAUGUUAUCACUCCACUAUAAGCAAUUUAUAAAUAUCGUAUUUCUUAUAUAUAGGGUGUCAAAAAAAGGAUUUAGGAACUUCAAACAGACGCUUUAUUCACUGAAGAAAGGAAAGAACUUCGAUUUAAUAUUUAUAACAAAUUAGAAUUUUUGUAACAUGUAAACAUUUUUAUUUAUCGAAAGAGAUCUCAAAUAGUUCAGAUAUAUGCAAUCGAAUUUUUAUUUUUAUUAAUUUAACCCAUUUUAAUCUAAACUCUGCUUACGAAAUUGUUGCUUACUCUAAUGAACGUUAUGAAACUACAGAGUUUGUAACUCUUUUCUUUGGACAAUUGCAUCAUUCUUGUAGGAAAUAUUUAUUAAGAUCAAUUUAAUAAUUUUCUAGUUUAUAAUGACGUUCACAUAAAGAGUUACAUAUUUAAGAUCAUGACAGUAGAUAAAUAGAUGUAGAAAUGAAGUUGAAAUAUAUUAUUACCCGUUAUGUAACUUAUAUACAUAUAAAUAUGUCUCCAAAAUUUGCAUUUGAUUUAAGAAUUAUCUGUAUUAAUUUUGUGUGUACUAUGCUAUUUAAUUAAUAUGUAUUUCGUAAAUUAAUGUUACUAGAAAACAGAGCCAGAAAAUAAAGAGGAUUCUGUAUAUAAGUAUAUUUUUUAGUAUAGAUAAUAAUAAAGUUACAGUUAGGGCAAAAUCAAAUUACGAUCUUAUAUAUCACUUUACAGGUUUGUAUCUUGCUGAUAUGGCAUUCAUAAGUAAUGAUCCUUUUAUUCCCUUCAAACUUUCAUUAUCUUUAUUACUUCUAUUUUCACCAUGAUUUGUAAAAGCAACAGAAAUUAUUAAUUAUUUCAAAAACAUGUAGCACGAACAGACAAAAGUCGUAUUAACAAUAUUAAUAUAAUUCCUUAUUUAUUUAGUAUUAUCAUAUACAUAUUAUUAUCGUAUUAAUUUAAAAAUCUCUCAUAUACUUUGACAUUACCUAUUUUAUUAUGUUACCAGUGAUAUGAAAUGCUUAUCAAAGGUUAAAUUAAGAUAAAACUACAAUACGUACGUAUAUACUUUAAAGGGACAUACGUAUUUCUUUUAAUAUCGAAUAAUAACAGAUAACAUUUAAAAGUUAGUAAAAUUAAAAUUAUAACUUUAACCUCGUAUUAAAGGAUAUAGAUAACUUGUACACAUUAUUCAUUUGUUCAUAAACUAAUUAGUAUUUCACUUGGUUCGUGGCCAUCGCUGCAUAUGACGAUGUGACGACAUUGCUUGGAGACCAUGGCAAGUAGCGGGGGUAAUGACGUCGUAGCUCUCGCUUGCUCCAUUCACUGACCGGCCGUCGCCGCGAGUAGUCGUGAGUUUGUCCUGCUUUCUUCUGUACAUCGAUACCGUUCCAGGAUCUAACGGAAUAUCCCGGAAGCGUGUUUUGGACUUUCCUAUUUCUUUCUGUUGAAAUCUUUCCCACAGAUUACCACGGAUUCCUGUUAUCUCUAUAAUAAGUAUCGAGUAACAAUCGACGCAUUUUAAUCAAAGCCUGGAAUGUAUUUGUGAAAGCUGCUUAUUCUUUCCAUCUUUCUUCCUUUCGUGUCUUUGCAUUGUGUGCGCGCGCGUGCUUGUGUGUAUGAUUUGUAUACAUAAUAGUAUUUGUACGGAUUCGAGAAGGUCUUUGGACGCGAAAGGAUACGAUCGAUUACAAUUCGUGGAAGGAGAUAUGACCGUCGCCGGAAAGACUUCACCCAGCUCCAAUCAUUCAGCUUUCUCGGCGCCAAAGGAUAUACAAAUAUACACACGUAGGGUAUUCGCUUUUACGAAUUAAUUGGCUCUUGGCGAUCGUUCGUAAAUCAGGAAUUCGUAAAGCGGGAGUUUAUCUCUUAGAAGUAAUGCUAUAAGCGAGAGUUUUGUUCGUAAGAAGGAACAAACAAAGAAUAAAAUAUACAGAAUAAAUAUCAAACGAUAAGAAAAGUCUUUACUGAACAAAGAUCUGCAUAUGUAAGAAAACUUCUCAAUCGAUAAAAAUUAUUUGAAAAAAGAUUGGCUCAUCUUUUUAUCACCGGGUAAAUCAACGGUCGUAGAGAUAGUAGGAGAUAUAUCUAUUAGAAAGUUUAAGAAAGAAACGCCUCCAAUUGUCUUUGCCGCGCAUAAUUUAAAAUAAAUACGUGGCUCCAACAAAUUCGCGAAGAUAAAGAUUCGUAAGGUUAGAAUAGCUAACGAUACAAAAACAUUGUAUCAUUCUAACUGAAACUAUAAUGCUAAAAAUUUGAGAUAUUUAAACCAACUUUCAUCCGCAGACGUAAUAGUGGCGCUAAAUGGAACUAAAGCACGCUAAGAAAUACCGGUGGUUGGAAAAAUAAUAGAAAAGCAGUUCGAAGGAAACACAAUUAUAGUAUCAACCG